rnacentral:rRNA from 1 species
AUUGAACGCUGGCGGCAGGCCUAACACAUGCAAGUCGAGCGGAGCGGCGGACGGGUGAGUAAUGCCUAGGAAUCUGCCUGGUAGUGUGGGAUAACGUCCGGAAACGGGCGCUAAUACCGCAUACUAUCAGAUGAGCCUAGGUCGGAUUAGCUAGUUGGUGGGGUAAAGGCCUACCAAGGCGACGAUCCGUAACUGGUGUGAGAGGAUGAUCAGUCACACGGGAAACGAGACACGGUCCAGACUCCCUAGGGAGGGAGCAGGUGGGAAAAUUUGACAAUGGGUGCAAGCCUGAUUCCGGCCUUGCGGGGUGGGGAAGAAGGGUUUCGGAUUUGUAAUGAAUUUAAAGUUGGAGGAGGUACCAAACGAAUUAGCACCGGCUAACUUCGUGCCAGCAGCCGCGGUAAUUC